rnacentral:rRNA from 1 species
UUUUAAAAAGCGUCAAAGCUUAAUUCCAAAUACAAAAUUCCCACAUUUACAUUAACCCCUUUAAUCGUAUUGAGAACUUCUAUAAUUUUAUAGAACUUUUUAUGCUAAAACUAGUAACAAGAGAAAACCCUCUCCCAAACGCAAGUACAAGCCAGAAGAACCCAUCACUGGCAUAAUAACAGACUACAAAGAAGCAACUCUUCCAGAAAACUCUUCUACCUUAACUGUUAAUCUUACACCAGGGCGUUUCGAGAAAGAUUAAAAGAAAAAGAAGGAACUCGGCAAAAACUAGCCCCGCCUGUUUACCAAAAACAUCGCCUCUUGAAUUUAUUAGAGGUCCAGCCUGCCCAGUGACUCCUGUUUAACGGCCGCGGUAUUCUAACCGUGCAAAGGUAGCGUAAUCACUUGUUUUCUAAAUAAAGACUAGUAUGAAAGGCACCACGAGGACUAAACUGUCUCCUUUUUCCAAUCAGUGAACCUAAUCUCCCCGUGAAGAAGCGGGGAUUUCAGUAUAAGACGAGAAGACCCUGUGGAGCUUAAAACAUCUAAACAUCUGCUUCAUUUUCCAUCACUCAGGUAUAUUACCCCUCUUGCAAUUUGAUUUAAUGUUUUUGGUUGGGGUGACCGCGGAAAAAAACAGAUCCUCCGCAAUGAAAAGGAAUUCCUUAAACUGUAAGUCACAACUUUACGUAUCAAAAAAUUGACACCAUCGACCCAAUAGUUGAUCAAUGAACCAAGUUACCCCAGGGAUAACAGCACAAUCCACUUCAAGAGUUCAUAUCGACAAGUGGGCUUAUGACCUCGAUGUUGGAUCGGGAUAUCCUAGUGGUGCAGCCGCUACUGAAGGUUCGUUUGUUCAACGAUUAAAACCC